rnacentral:lncRNA from 1 species
CCCAUUUAAAAAAGUAAUACGCAGACAUCAGCAUUCAGCUACUAGGUUUAUAAAAUAUCAUACACAGUGAUGAACCUUUAUACGGUCCGUCUAGAUAUUACAACUCUAAGGGAAGGGCACUAUUCCCUACGUAGUGCACUACUUUUGACCCGAGCCCUAUAAGCCCUUGUAGUGCACUAUGGAGGGAAAAGGCCAUUUGGGAUAUCAUUUCCCUCCUUUUUUUGGUUUUGUAAACUGUUGACAUUCAGAGCCCCGCCCCCUCAUCUGAGGGUUGGUCAUGUGACCAGACCGCCUGUCACGUAUUCAGAGAUAGAGAGAGAGAGAGAGAGAGAGAGAGAGAGAGAGAGAGAGAGAGAGGAAAACAGAGUAUUAGUAGUUGUCAGAAAUCUGUAUUAGAAGUAUCAAAUAAAACCUUCCACUGACUGAUCAGCCAGCCAAAUAAUAACACAAUCAACAUGAUUGUACCUUUCAGCCAACUCUGGAGUGUGUGUGUGUACCUACAUGGAUCCUCCUUUUUGUAAACACAACCAUUCCCUCGACAUUCCUCUUUUUCACACCCCACACCAAUACCAUACAGAAUCAAUAAUGAAAGCGAUAACAUCACAAAUAAAUAAUACAUCAAAACAAAUAAAUAAUGAAUGACAAGAAAUAAAUUAUGAAUGAAAACAAAAAAAUAAUGGACUUUCAAAUAUAAUAGUUACUUAAAUGCUAUAUCAAAGCAAGCAGGUUGGCUUUGAGUGCGGAGAUUGUCAUUGCGUGAGGCUUCUUGCAGUUUGGUGAUGAUGCUAUGUAUGUCCAGUUUGUCCCUCGUUGUGUGGUUGCAGUACUUGCACAGCAUACUGUAGGUUACUGUUAAAAAAACUUAACAGUCAUUUGGGACCUGUUAUGACAUCACUCUUAUGUCUUCCAGCGUGUCACACGUUCUCUGUGAUGUCACACAGGCGCUUUGUGAUGUCACAGAGGUUCCUUAUUUAUGAUGCCACAGAGGCUCUCUAUGAUGUCACAGGAGAUUAGACCCGUCUUGUUUCAUCCAUCUCAUCUCUCUCUCCUUUCAAUUGUGCUUCUACUGUUUUUUUCACUACGUGGACUUGUUGCAGUUCACACAUUCAUUCCCCACUCAGCCUGGUGACUGACUGAUUGGCUGGCAACCCUGUGUAGUGGGUCUAGAGGUCAGAAUUGAAAGGUCAACCUAUUUGUUGUUAUAGGGGUCAGAGUUCGUUGGUUCAGUUCAGAGGGCGGUGAGUGUGCGGAACAGCUGUGUGAGGCAGAAGACGGAAGCAGUGAGGGCAGUACACUGCUUGGCAAGAAGCUUGGUGCUGAGGUCAUGACAGCUCCGCCUCCCGCUCGCCCUCUCCGCUGCCAGCACAAACUCCCGGUACGUUCUGGCCACGUCCGCCAGCCCCGCUAGUGCCUCGGCAUUCCUCCGGUCGCACCGGUCGCACCCGGAGAACCACAGGCACAUGCCGGCCAUGCCCACCAGGGUCCUGAAGCUGUCAGAGAGGGAGAAGAGCAUCUCAUCCGGGGUCUGCCCCACCCGGACCACCUUCUGACAGCCGGCCAUCAGCCUCCGGGCCUCCAUGUGGAGAAGACGCUUGUUUUCUGAGAAGUGGGUGGCGCAGGUCUCCCUGGGGUGCCUCCCCCCUUUCCCCCCCAUCCUCCCCCCCUGCAGGAGGGUGAGAAGCUCGUCCACGUCACUCCGGAUGGUCUGGAAC